UACGUAGGGGGCAAGCGUUGUCCGGAAUCAUUGGGCGUAAAGCGCGCGUAGGCGGCCCGGUAAGUCCGCUGUGAAAGUCGGGGGGCUCAACCCUCGGAUGCCGGUGGAUACUGUCGGGCUCGAGUACGGAAGAGGCGAGUGGAAUUCCUGGUGUAGCGGUGAAAUGCGCAGAUAUCAGGAGGAACACCAAUUGCGAAGGCAGCUCGCUGGGACGUUACUGACGCUGAGACGCGAAAGCGUGGGGAGCAAACAGG
rnacentral:rRNA from 1 species